AACGAACGCUGGCGGCAUGCCUAACACAUGCAAGUCGAACGAGACCUUCGGGUCUAGUGGCGCACGGGUGCGUAACGCGUGGGAACCUGCCUUUAGGUUCGGAAUAACUCAGAGAAAUUUGAGCUAAUACCGGAUGAUGUCUUCGGACCAAAGAUUUAUCGCCUUUAGAUGGGCCCGCGUUGGAUUAGCUAGUUGGUGGGGUAAAGGCCUACCAAGGCGACGAUCCAUAGCUGGUCUGAGAGGAUGAUCAGCCACACUGGGACUGAGACACGGCCCAGACUCCUACGGGAGGCAGCAGUGGGGAAUAUUGGACAAUGGGCGAAGGCCUGAUCCAGCAAUGCCGCGUGAGUGAUGAAGGCCUUAGGGUUGUAAAGCUCUUUUACCCGAGAUGAUAAUGACAGUAUCGGGAGAAUAAGCUCCGGCUAACUCCGUG
rnacentral:rRNA from 1 species